AGCGUUAUCUAAGUCUGGGGGAGGUUCUACUGAUAUUGUGUUUUAGUUAUGAAAAAAAAAACAAAAAAAACAGAUCCAUAUAGACGAUUGCUCAGAUCAUCGACCGAUGAGACCACCUCGAUAUCGAUCGACAACGCUUCAUCAACAACGAUCGAUUGUCACUUUAUUGUAUCGAUCGAUACUGAGCAGGUUAUCGUUCUUACUUGUUAAAUUUUGUACUUCUGCUUUAUGAUUUUCACCUUACCACCGACAGUGUUACACUGGGGACAGUGUAAUUUAAGUCUGGGGGGAUUACUAACGUUUAUCUACCUUUAUGAGUCUUAUUUAAAAUAUUUUCAAAAUUUGUUUUUAUUGAGUCAAGAAGGGGGUGAUGAUCUAAUUCGAUUUAUUACUUGUCAUCUAAACCACUCUUUAGACCAGUCUUCG
rnacentral:lncRNA from 1 species